UCUGUCAAGUCGGAUGUGAAAUCCCCGGGCUCAACCUGGGAACUGCAUUCGAAACUGGCAGGCUUGAGUCUUGUAGAGGGGGGUAGAAUUCCAGGUGUAGCGGUGAAAUGCGUAGAGAUCUGGAGGACGUACGGCUGUGAUCAACGCCGCCAGCGGCCGUCAAACCGUGGAUGCCGCGCUGAAAGAUGCACAAAGCCGUAUCACUAAGUAAUGCCGC
rnacentral:rRNA from 1 species